GCAGGCAGCAGGCUGGACCGGCCUACUUCUUGAGGGAGGGAGACCUCAAGCCCUUCGUGGAAACUGGGGAGGGAGGGCUGUUUGGUGAACCGGGAUCUGCUGAAAACGUCCUUCUUGUUGAGGAAGAGCACGAUGGACGUCGUGGCGAAGUAGCGGUGAUUGCAGAUGCUGUUGAACAGGCAUGGCUGUUCUGGAACUCCAAGCUAGCCUCAGACUCAGAGAUUCACUUGUUUCUGCCUCCCAGUGCUGGGACUGAAGGCAUAGACCACCACUGCCUGGCAUCGUUCCACUUUUUAAAGCUGUUUCACGGGUCUACCGAUGACCACGCUCUGGCACCCAGUGCCUUUGUGGACCUGGUGAUCCAAGAGUUAUUCUCAGACCUCAUUCCCAAGGGAGAAAGAAGAGCUGAGCAGGCCUGGAAAACCAUAGGCUAUAGCUCAAGGGCAAAAAUGUGUCUGAAGACACACAUUUAUACAACGGUGUGUUUGGUAUACACUUCAGGGUGUCCUCAAGAAGUUGCCCCAAGUGGGGUUGGGGAUUUAGCUCAGCGGUAGAGCGCUUGCCUAGCAAGCACAAGGCCCUGGGUUCGGUCCCCAGCUCCGAAAAAAAGAAAAAAAGAAAAAAAAAAGAAAAAAAAAAAGGAAGUUGCCCCAAGUACAUCGCCUUGGGGGACUAGGACAUCCAUCACCUGUCAGGCCUUGCCUGGGAAUGGCUCGCUCUGUGCUCUCUGCCCCACCACACUGUCAUUCUUCCCCAAAGGAAUCCCUGCUUUAAGGAAAGGCUCUUUGUCCAGCCCCAGGCCGCUGACCCACAGCUGUCCCCUUCUAACACUGGCCCGCACCCCUACCCAGAAGCAGCAGCUUCACGGUCCGUGCGUCCUUCUCAGCGUCUUCUUUCAGCUUCUUUUCCAGCUCUCUGGAGUGCUUCUCCUCAGCGCUGGCCCCAGCCCCCAUGGUCCCAGCA